GGAUGGAACUUGGAAAUGUAUGGAAGGGAUGUGACAAUCUGCAGUGAAUGUUCGCACCCUUCUGUUGGGAACCGCGGGUGGCAUGCUUUCAAAUUAACGACAUGCAUUCGUUGCAAGGGACUCCGCUCCUCCAUACUGUAAGACUUUCCAUCACAGGCCCAUGAAAGCCUCUUCAGUUGUUAAUCUCCUUUGGCCUACUCUGGGUGUUAAUCAUUAAGGAAGUUGUACAUCUCUGUACAGUUGGCUUAUGGCCAAACUCCUUUUCUAUAGAUCAGUGGUACCCACAAUCACAGAGACUAUUUAAUAUUCAGUCUGAAGUUAUACAAAUGCAGCAUAAGGAGCUGAGUAUCAUAUGUACCUAUGGACAAGUGCUGCAUCACUGUUGAUUGUUAGAGGUAAAGGAUUACCACCAUAAAUUGCUUAAUUACAACAAAACUGUGUUCCUUCCCCCAAAAUAAAUUACUCACCAAGUGUCUGCAAUUGACCGUGUAUUCAAUUUUAUUAAUCUAAGUAGUGCACAAGUUGAGAUGACAAAAGAGAAAAUAAAAAAUACUUUAUAAGGCAUACCCAGUACUCUCAUUGAUUAAUGUACACUGUUUAAUAAAAUUACAGCUACAAACUAUGAUUUUUUAAAAAUUUUGGGGGGGAAAUUUAUAACAUCUUACAUAUGAAGGAAGGAUUCAAAUGCUAUGUUUUUAUAUAAAUACUAAUUCAAAUUCCAAAAGUAGUGUAUAUGGGAUAUAGCACAUAAUCAACAUUUAAUUGGGAUAAAUACAUUCAGGACAUUGUGUUUUAAUGCAUACUUAUCAUAAGAUAAAAAGAAAAUGAAUGUC
ensembl:lncRNA